rnacentral:rRNA from 1 species
CCUACGGGCGGCUGCAGUGGGGAAUCUUGGACAAUGGGGGAAACUCUGAUCCAGCGACGCCGCGUGAGUGAAGAAGUAUUUCGGUACGUAAAGCUCUAUUAGCAGGAAAGAAAAUGACGGUAACUGACUAAGAAGCCCCGGCUAACUACGUGCCAGCAGCCGCGGUAAUACGUAGGGGGAAAGCGUUAUCCGGAUUUACUGGGUGUAAAGGGAGCGUAGGCGGUAGCGCAAGUCUGGAGUGAAAUGCCGGGGCGCAACCCCGGAACUGCUCUGGAAACUGUGAAGGUGGAGUGCAGGAGAGGUAAGAGGAAUUCCUGGUGUAGCGGUGAAAUGCGUAGAUAUCAGGAGGAACACCAGCGGCGAAGGCGGCUUACUGGACUGUAACUGACGUUGAGGCUCGAAGGCGUGGGGAGCAAACAGGAUUAGAUACCCCAGUAGUC